rnacentral:tRNA from 1 species
AAGAAGGAGAGGUAGGCUGCUAACCUACGAUGUAGCUAUUAGUUAACUUCUUG